GAUGAACGCUGGCGGCGUGCCUAAUACAUGCAAGUCGAGCGAACAGACGAGGAGCUUGCUCCUCUGACGUUAGCGGCGGACGGGUGAGUAACACGUGGAUAACCUACCUAUAAGACUGGGAUAACUUCGGGAAACCGGAGCUAAUACCGGAUAAUAUAUUGAACCGCAUGGUUCAAUAGUGAAAGACGGUUUUGCUGUCACUUAUAGAUGGAUCCGCGCCGCAUUAGCUAGUUGGUAAGGUAACGGCUUACCAAGGCAACGAUGCGUAGCCGACCUGAGAGGGUGGUCGGCGACACUGGAGCUGAGACACGGUCCAGACUCCUACGGGAGGCAGCAGUAGGGAAUCUUACGCAAUGGGCGAGAGCCUGACGGAGCAACGCCGCGUGAGUGAUGAAGGUCUUCGGAUCGUAAAACUCUGUUAUUAGGGAAGAACAAAUGUGUAAGUAACUAUGCACGUCUUGACGGUACCUGGUCAGAAAGCCACGGCUAACUACGUG
rnacentral:rRNA from 1 species